rnacentral:rRNA from 1 species
UACGUAGGGUGCAAGCGUUGUCCGGAAUUAUUGGGCGUAAAGAGCUCGUAGGCGGUUUGUUGCGUCGGCUGUGAAAUCCCGAGGCUCAACCUCGGGUCUGCAGUCGAUACGAGCAAACUAGAGUGUUGCAGGGGAGACUGGGAAUUCCUGGUGUAGCGGUGAAAUGCGCAGAUAUCAGGAGGAACACCGGUGGCGAAGGCGGGUCUCUGGGCAACAACUGACGCUGGAGGAGCGAAAGCGUGGGGGAGCGAACAGG